rnacentral:tRNA from 1 species
GCCGAGGUGGUGAAAUUGGCAGACACGCUGGUCUUAGAAGCCAGUGCCUUGCGGCGUAGGGGUUCAAGUCCCCUCCUCGGCA